CUAAACUUGAAAAGUUGCUUACGGCGUGCUAGACAUACAGAAAGCUGAUCUACAGAAGUCUCACAGAAUGAUGUGGUUACUGCCUAAUAAAAAAUGAAAAUAAAAUAACCAAAGGGAAAAGGAAAAGGAAAAGGGAUGAAGGCAGAACAAUUGUAAGCGGCGACUUCAAUGGAAUCUGUAUCUCCUUCUUCAAUCAACGAGAUUUGUUUACUCCUUACAACCAUUCUUUCAUUUAAUUAAACUUCAAAUUUUUCUGUUAAUUUCAAACUAUUUCUUGCUAUUUUAUCAAAGAUCACCAAGCUUGAUGGGAUCUUCUUCCCCGAUAUUUAGCCCAUCUUUAGAUAAGCGAUUUUUGGAGCACCCUGCGCAGUCGGGUCAACUUGCUUCUCCAUAAUCGAAAGCCUAUAGAUCAAUUUGUGCACGUUCAAAUGGUUUGAUAUUUUAUCACUCUUGAAUUGGGUGUUUUUGGACUUUUCUUCCUCCAAUUUGAUGAUGGAUUUUUACAAGUCCUGUGAAAAUUGUGAAGAAUGAUGAGACAAUGCAGCAGCAGAAGAGAUUGAAGGAAGACUCCAUGACCUGAAGCAACUAUCUUCCCAAUAUCAUACUCACUUGGUUAAUCAUUGGCCGGAGAAGACGAACUUGGGCCGAUUUUGUCGAAGUCGGAGAUGUAAACGUUCUCCACCUUCAAAGCCCCUGUUCUUAGUUUUCUUCACAAGUUGACUGGUUUUUUCAAUUGAAAAAUGCACGAGUCGAAUGGGAAAAUCAACUGAGUUCAUCUAUCGGAGAAGAUGAACUUGGACCAGUAAGUUGUCAGAGAAGACGGCGGGAAUUUCAGCUGGAAAUGGGUUGAACUGUUUUGGGAAAAUGGUGAGCAUAAGGUAUAUAAUAAAUCUCUUCCCUCGUGUUUUCUUUUUUUACACUCUCUUCGUGCGUUUUUCCUUUUCUUUUUUGGCCAAGUCACUGUUUUUUUGUAAAUUCUGUAAGGAUUCUGUGAAUAUUUGUCUGUACACCUAGAAUUAUUCUAAAAAUAAAUAAGUUUUA
rnacentral:lncRNA from 1 species